AGGUCUAGUUGAAGAUAUGGAUCCACCUUGGUUGUUUGGAUUGAUCAUUGAAACAUGGUUAUCUUGAUUGAAUCAAUAGGUUGGUUAUGGGGGUGGAAGACGCUUCUCACCACCAUGUCUUUCCUUAUGAACAAAUUGAUUAGGGAACGUCCUCUAACCAAUUACUAAUCAACAAAUUGCCAAGGAACGUCCUUGGGCC
rnacentral:lncRNA from 1 species